rnacentral:rRNA from 1 species
UACGUAGGGUGCAAGCGUUGUCCGGAAUUAUUGGGCGUAAAGAGCUCGUAGGCGGCUUGUCGCGUCGACUGUGAAAACCCGCAGCUCAACUGUGGGCUUGCAGCCGAUACGGGCAGGCUAGAGUUCGGUAGGGGAGACUGGAAUUCCUGGUGUAGCGGUGAAAUGCGCAGAUAUCAGGAGGAACACCGGUGGCGAAGGCGGCCAUCUGGACGGAUACUGACGCUGAGACGCGAAAGCGUGGGAGCAAACAGG